GGUCUCGUGGCGUGCUGAGUCUGCGUGUGAUGCCGAGGGGCGCGGCCACCUGGAUUUAAAUACCCGCACUGCGGACCUCGGAGGAAACACACACAAACACAUGGACGAAAAUGGCCGACCUGCACACUAGCUGUGUUUCCUUGUCGUGUCCGCCAAUUGGGAGCAGGCUUCCAUGGCUGGUGCUUGCGAAUGGAGGAAUGCACUGCCGACUACCUCACACGGGCGUCCGCUCCGACCAAGAAAGUUAAGAAAAGUAUCGUUCAUGGACUUAGAAAAUCUUAAAUAAAAUCACCAACUACAAAUCUUCUUCUUCCA